rnacentral:lncRNA from 1 species
UAUACGAUUCUACCCAAGCUAACAUUAUCCUUCCAAACCCUAAGCCCAAACAUCAGCGAAAUCGAAGAUCGAUCGAAUUCAGCGAGGUCCAUGUCGGUAAUAUCGCGGAGGGCAUUUGCUUCCGAUGACGCAAGAUAUUUCUCCAAGGGUUUAAGAGAUCAAAACGAAAAGCACACAGGAUGGACGGGAGGGGAGCCAAGGGUGUUGGUGUUCGAAAGGCGCAAGCGAGAACAGGGUGAGGUAGCCAGACCCCCGCCAUCUUCGCUUCCGUCCUCAUCCUUGGCCCAUAAACCCUAAACCUCGGGUGCAGGUAGAGGUGCCCAGUCCAAUAAACGCGUUAAUUCUCUCUGGAUGUGCCCGCUGCCGUUGGAAAACGCCGUCGUCGCUUCGUCAGAGCUCUGAUACCUUCGCUUCUCUUGUCUUUUCCGGCUAUUUGGGUUCGGUUUCGGCCGUUUCGAUGCUGAAUGGGUUUGAUUUUGGGUGUGGGUUGGAUUCUUGAAGUGUUAUCUCGAGUGGUGCGUUUGGUUUGGGAUUUUCUUUUUCCAGUGGUUAGACAAUCAAUUUUUUUUUGAACUGAUGUUCAUGUUUCGUAGGAAACAGAAUGCGUAUCGAUGUUCUUUCGUCGGCGUAUUAAUGCACUUUUGAUUAUUGAUCUUUAAUAUUCGGUAGAAUUCCUUGGUGAUGGUUAUUUUUAGAUGUCAUGCUUGUGAUAGGGGCGAAAAUAAUCAUGGCUACACACGUGUGCGACUACAUGGACAUGACCCAUGGAAUUCUUUGUUUUGGAUUUUGCCUGUGGGUCGCUCAAGAAUGUAUCUAUAAAUAUUUUAUUUAGCAUAGCAAGAAGGCCAAAAUUUCCUUUUUUUUUCGUUCUGGAAAUUCUCUGAUGCCUGCUGUUGCUUUUGGUUUUUGUGUUUUCUUGCAAGUAAGUUUCAUUUCUGUCCAUCAAGGAGAAGAUUCGAGGGCACAUGGGUUUCCUAGUAUUUCUGAUGCCCACACUUUUUGUUUCUUUAAGUGCGUAGUCUUUUUGGUCCUCACUAAGAAAGUGACUAAGCUGCUGACUAGUUCCUGAAAUGAAUACCGGCUUGAUUAGAUGUUUUUGCUUUCGAAUAUCAUCCAUCUAUAUAAUGUUUGCACUGUCUUAAUGUUCUAUGGAAAUCUGUUAGGAACUAAAUUCUGGCUGAUCACAACAAGAUGUAUUUGCUUGAAUAUCUUGCCAAUUAGCUGCUUUUCAUUGUUUGUAUGCUUUGUCAGAGAGGGUAUGCAUUCAAGUACGGUCUCUAAUUAUUUUCACAUCCCAACCUCUGUUUAGUACGAUUCUUCUCUUGGUCACUUCUAGGUUGAUGGGUGCUGAUGAUGUUGAUGACCAAAAAGACAAUGGAGCAAAGAGAGAAAACAACAUGCCGAC